AUUGAACGCUGGCGGCAGGCCUAACACAUGCAAGUCGAGCGGAUGAGAAGAGCUUGCUCUUCGAUUCAGCGGCGGACGGGUGAGUAAUGCCUAGGAAUCUGCCUGGUAGUGGGGGACAACGUUUCGAAAGGAACGCUAAUACCGCAUACGUCCUACGGGAGAAAGCAGGGGACCUUCGGGCCUUGCGCUAUCAGAUGCGCCUAGGUCGGAUUAGCUAGUUGGUGAGGUAAUGGCUCACCAAGGCGACGAUCCGUAACUGGUCUGAGAGGAUGAUAAGGCACACUGGAACUGAGACACGGUCCAGACGACUACGGGAGGCAGCAGUGGGGAAUAUUGGACAAUGGGCGAAAGCCUGAUCCAGCCAUGCCGCGUGUGUGAAGAAGGUCUUCGGAUUGUAAAGCACUUUAAGUUGGGAGGAAGGGCAGUAAGUUAAUACCUUGCUGUUUUGACGUUACCGACAGAAUAAGCACCGGCUAACUCUGUGCCAGCCGCCGCUGUAAUAC
rnacentral:rRNA from 1 species